UCACCCAAAAAUUUCAAUUCCUUGCUAAUCUCUCCAUCUUUCACCCAGCUUACUCAUCCCUCCGCUCCAGUGCCUACGUCUGCAACCAAUAACUAUCCCAUACAUAAUAGUCCUAAUUUUGAAAUUAGAAACCCUAGGUUUACCGAGGAUGAUUUCACUUACUAAGAAUCUGAAGACGGAUACAAUGGAUUAUGUAGAUCUUACAACGAUGAAUCCUAUAAAGAGAACGACAUUGCAUUACCAGCUGCUCUUUUGAGGAUUCGCAAUCGUUUCAAGAUGACGGCUGGUGCUGAAAUUGUUUGCAGUGAGGUGGUUUGUAAGGUGGAGACUAUGGAGAAGUGUGGUUCUGGUGUGAAUGCAGUGACGGUGUUGCUAUUGUUGAUUGUAAUGUCGGUGGUAAUGGUAAUUGUGUCUGUGACUAGCCGAGAGGCAGGGGACUCAUGUGGCUGGAAGUAAGAAUGUAAGAAGGCGGCUUUGGAUGGGAAUGAGUCUAGGGAGUUGCUGCAGUUUGUGAGCGUAGUGGGGUUUUGAGGGUCACAUCGGGUCGAGAGAGAUAGAUGGGUAGGGGUGAGCAUAAGUAGGUCCGACCCGACUAGAACCCGAUAACCAAACCGAAUAGUACCCGAAACCGACCCUAAUAGAGUAAUUCGGGUGUAGAAAAAGCUCUGCAUUUGCCCAUAAAUUGGUCAAAUCUGAUAUCAUACUGCAUUCUCAGUUAUAGUUUUGUCGAAUCCGUGUGCUUUCGGAAAGUUUUAUUUCCGCUGCCAAUUGUACUCUGAAUCCGAAGGCCUGGCGAGGGUGUUACAUGCAUCUUCGGCGUAGGUACCGAUGCAUGUCCUUGUUAUGCCAUUACCGGUGAGUCGGGGACUUUCGGCAUUUGGCGAUUGUACGCUUCUCGGAUGAAACCGGAGGAAGAAUGGUUAGAGUCGCUAUAGAGGGAGUAGAUCGCUAAUCAAAUGAUACUGCAACUCCAAGCGACCAUUGACAGAGACCUAACACUACCCCAUGAGCUUCCCCCUACAUAGGUACAAGUUAUUUACUAUCGUAGGUAUAUAUAAUAAACAUGUUUCGUAUUUAAUUUUAACUGUAUUUUAUUAAUAUGUUACUUUAAAAAACAAAUCAGUUUUUUUUUAAUUUUAUUAUUAGAGUGAAGAGGUAUGGUCCCAAAUCAUAAUUGCACA